GAACGCUGGCGGCGGGCCUAACACAUGCAAGUCGAACGGUAACAGGAAGAAGCUUGCUUCUUUGCUGACGAGUGGCGGACGGGUGAGUAAUGUCUGGGAAACUGCCUGAUGGAGGGGGAUAACUACUGGAAACGGUAGCUAAUACCGCAUAACGUCGCAAGACCAAAGAGGGGGACCUUCGGGCCUCUUGCCAUCGGAUGUGCCCAGAUGGGAUUAGCUAGUAGGUGGGGUAACGGCUCACCUAGGCGACGAUCCCUAGCUGGUCUGAGAGGAUGACCAGCCACACUGGAACUGAGACACGGUCCAGACUCCUACGGGAGGCAGCAGUGGGGAAUAUUGCACAAUGGGCGCAAGCCUGAUGCAGCCAUGCCGCGUGUAUGAAGAAGGCCUUCGGGUUGUAAAGUACUUUCAGCGGGGAGGAAGGGAGUAAAGUUAA
rnacentral:rRNA from 1 species